rnacentral:tRNA from 1 species
CGGACAGAAGCCCGCUGGAUUGGGUGUUUAGCUGUUAACUAAUCUUUUGUGGGAUCGAGGCCCACCUGUCUAG